AUCUAUGGAAAAUUGGCCAACUGCGGAGAGUUAAGAGAUGGGAUUCAAAUGUUAGAUGACCCAUUGACUCUGUAGUUUCAGCUGAAACAUAUCAAAACAACCAAAACUUCCAUUUUCAAGUUCUCCAAACCUCUCCAUAACCAAGAAACUUCAAACCUUACGGGUGCUCCCUCCAUACUUGGAAUUAGAAGCUUAAAAUGGUUUCAUUCGAAAGAGGACAACCUCAACUUCAUCCCUACAUAAAAAAGAGGAAGGAAUCGAAAGUAAUCAAGGGAGAACAGCUGGACAAGACUCAUGAAGAAAGGAAAGCACGAAAAUGUGGGGAUCAUGAAACACCAUAAGAGUCAUUCUUGCUUUGUGGCAGGGAGAGUGACGACUUUGGUGAAGACAGAAAGUCGCUGGAAGCAAAGAGCCCAUAAGUUAACUUUCAGUAAGCUUUAAGCAACAAAUUUGCUGAAGUCGAGAGGAAUGAGCUCUCAAUGUCAAAAUCGAGAACAACUUGGAGUUGAGAAUGUGGGUAAAGUUAUUCUCAGGAUUACAAGUUUCGUGAAGAAAUUGAGGAAAAAUUGCCUCUAGAACACUCAGUAAUCAUCAAGUUUUAGAUGGGUCAAAUAUCGAUUUUGCGCACUGAAGGUAUGACCAGAGGUUGAAGACGAUGUCAUGGUGGCCUCUGACCUUUCACCACUGUUUUGACCGGUUCGCCCACUUUUAGUUGGUUCUCACUUUGAUUUUUGAUGUUCCAGAAAAUAGUCCCAAUCUGGACCUACCCAAGAAAUUUGUGCAAGAAACAACUUUAAGAGGCUCGUACAAACCGAUCCCGAACACGAUUGAAUAAGUAAAUGGCUACAUUGACCGACCGUUAGUUACUGUUUAGACUAGUUCACCCUUGUUUAGACUAGUUCUCACAAUGAGUUUUAUGGUUCCACAUAGUAGCUCGAAUUGGAAGCUACCCAAGAAAAUUGAGAAGGAAAUUGCUAGUUAAAAUCAAUCACGAAAACAGCUCACUGGCCGGUUCACCCUUGUUUAAAUCAGUUCUCAUGAAAUUGUUUAUUGUUCCAAAAACUAGAC